AGUCCGAGGUCAACCGUCGUAUGCGGUAACGCUGUUUGGCAGGGUGAGUUGUCUUUAAGGCAUGCGGAGGAAUGUGAGCAUCCCACGCACCCAGACACUUUGCAGUCAAGGACUGAAAAACAGAGAAAAAUGAGAAAAGAGAGCGUGGCGAGGAAGGUUCCUUCUCUCUCACCUCUCACAACCGGCCAGGCCUGAGCCCUAUUUUUCACAGAAGUUUGCUGUGGGACCAGCCAGGCUGCAAC
rnacentral:lncRNA from 1 species